CGAAGGAUGGCUGAUCGUGAGGAGGACACGGAGGGGGGAGCUCAGCAUGCCGGCUCGGGCUGGCAGGGCAGUUGAUACUGAGCUGGAGAGCUCGGCAGGUACCAGGACUACAAUGCUGGGAAAAUUGCUGCUGUUCUGGAUAUUGGUAUUAGCCACCCUGAAAGUCUGGAAUGGGAGAGGGAGAAGUCCUAAGCACCAACCUGGACUAAAUUGGUACCACAAUUCCAGGGUGAGUAAAGUUCCCCUGGAGAAGACUUCUGCAGGAAUUGAGUUGGAGCCAGCAGAUUGAGUGUUCCAGACUUGUGUGCAGCCAACAAGGGGCUCCUUUGUCCCUUGGGCACUGGUCAAGAAUCCCAGAUGAGGGGAGGAAACAUCACAGAGAGCCAGAAAGCUUCUGGGGCCAUAAGGAACAAGCUGGGGGAAAAAAACACUGGAAGGGAGAAUUUGAGAGUGGCUUUGGGCAAUGGGUGGGACAGAGGAAGUAUGAGAAAUAAGCAGGGAAUUUUGCUAAAAGGUUCCUUGGCUGAUUGGUUGAACUUAUGCUGGAGAGAAACUGGCUUUAGGUCAAGUCUGCAGUGCUUUUAUGUGAUUGCUCUCCCUCUGAGCAUCCCAGAAUGACAGCUGGGCCAGGCAUUUCGGCCUGUGGGCAGCAAACAAGAAAGGCAUAUGAAAUGUCUCUUCCAAGGACAGUUUCCCAAUAUGUCCUUUACAUGCUUGUUCAGGAGUUGUGAGUCUUUUUUUCCCCCUUGGCUCCUCUCUUAGGAGGUGAAUAGGAAGUGCACCCACCUCCCUGUAUCUGCAAUUUUAUUAAAAAAUGCUGCAUCAUCCAUUGUGGAACUUGUUUGGAGCUCAUUUAUUAUAUGGAAACUCUCUGGCUGUCCUUGGAGCAGAGCCAUGUGCUACCAGCCCCUUGAAAAUACAUGUUGAAUAAAUAUGUAGGUCAGAAAACAGAAAGCACAUCCCAAUUUAUUUGGUAGAUGGGAGUUUUGUUCCCUAGUGCUCUAUCACUGGGGCUGCUGAUCAGUUUUUGAAAGUAAUGUGGUAAUAGCUUUGUUCUUAGCUCAGAGAUUAAGUAAUGUCACCCUUUGCUUCCCAAAGGGCAGGUGCAGGUUAUAUAGGGAUAGAAUUCAGGGGAGUGGCCUUAAGAUGGAGGAAGGCAGGCUUAGAUUAAGAAGAAAUUCUUCCCUAUGAGGUUACUGAGGCCCUGGCAUAGGGUGCCCAGAGAAGCUGUGGCUGCCCCAUCCCUCAAAGAGACCAAGGCCAGGUUGGGCAGGGCUUGGAGCACCCUGGGAUAGUGGGAGGUAUCCCUGUCUGCGGCAGGGGGUGGAAUGAAAUAGGCUUUAAGGUCCUUUCCCAUCCAAACCAUUCUGGGAUUCUACUAUUUACUGACAUUAAUAGAUAAAAAUACCUACCAGGAGAUAAGGAUGAGGAGUGCCCUGAGAGAAGAUUUGCUAACAAGCAGCAAAACUCUCCCUGUUCUAUAAAUUGGCCAAACAUAGACCAAAGAGCUUCUCCACAGUUAUAUCAAAUCAAAAAAUAAGCCUGAACUCCUACUAGCAAUUGUUGCCCUCAAGCCUUCAUUAUGGCCCUAUUUUCUUCUUCAUCUUCCAGCCCAGAAGGAAUUGGCCAGGGAGCUCCUCCUGGCUGGCUGGUUUGUGCUGACUGUCUUCCCCAGUUGUGCUCUCUGUAGCAGCCUCACACAACACUGAGUGAAAUUAAAAACAUGUCUGGGGCUGACUGAAUCAUUCCUCAUUAGCUCAGUGGGCAGCAGAUUUAGGAGCUAGAUUUGCAAUGAACACUUAUUAGAUUGUGUGUCUUCUGGGGAUGGCUAAUUUUUUUUUAAUAAUCAGAUUCCAUGACUUAGCAGCAUAAUUAGCUAUUAGACAUACAUACUCCAUUCAAGAGCUGCUUUUUAAUUUCUUUUAAUCCUGCUUAAUCUAGGAGACUUUCUUUUCUCAUUUAUAGGGGAGUUUUGCACAGUUCUUCUGACAAGUGCAAGAUAGCCAGUGGGAAUGAGACCUGUAAUUAAUGCAUUGAAUGCUCAGUGCGAGCAGAAGGCUCUUGGAUGAAGAAGUUCUUCUGGCUCUGUCAGGUGUCUGACAAGAGGACAAACACUGUUAGUCAGAAUGGUGGUGUCUGUGAUAUGGUGGGGUUUACACCCUGCAAAUUCAUUUAAGGUAAGGUAUUGAGGACAGGAGGGAAAAUUAUGUCUUUCUCUAUUCCCCUGAAUUUUGAGCAGUCACAUGUGCUUGAUUCUGUACUUUCUCAACAAGAGCUGAUUCACUGGCUUUCUAGUAACAAAAAUAAAUUGAGCCCAGUGUCCUACCCCUUUUUGUAGGUGUGCAUGUGUUGAGGGGGUGAUGUGUUAAAAUGGAGUCCAGCUGUGAGAGCCUGAACUGUGGGAGGUCCAGAUUCAGCUGGGCGGUGUCAGAGACAAAAUGUAUGAAUGUGGUCAUGUAUCCUCACUGUGCUUUGGCUUGGCAUCGAUGAAAAGAACUUCACAGAUUCUGUGGUAA